rnacentral:rRNA from 1 species
UCACGUGCUACAAUGGCAUAUACAAUGAGACGCGAUACCGCGAGGUGGAGCAAAUCUAUAAAAUAUGUCCCAGUUCGGAUUGUUCUCUGCAACUCGAGAGCAUGAAGCC